CGUCACUUCCGGGCCAAAAGGUAGUCUGGUCCGAUAGGGCGACUAUUUGUUGCUGCUUCAGGGUUUUCGUGCGAGCUAUGGUGUAAACGCUGAUGACGGCCGGAGUCCUCUCUCACUCCCUCCUCCUGUGUGAACGCGAGUGUGUGUGUGUGUGUGUAUGCCAGUGUUUGGUCGUAAACAGGACCAACUGCAAUCAGCUCAUUGGGGUCGCUGCUGCUUUGCCAGGCUGAUCUUGCCUUCCCACGCUACUCUGCUUUGCCAGGCUGAUC